UACGUAGGGUGCAAGCGUUAAUCGGAAUUACUGGGCGUAAAGCGUGCGCAGGCGGCUAUGCAAGACAGAUGUGAAAUCCCCCGGGCUCAACCUGGGAACUGCAUUUGUGACUGCAUGGCUAGAGUGCGGCAGAGGGGGGAUGGAAUUCCGCGUGUAGCAGUGAAAUGCGUAGAUAUGCGGAGGAACACCGAUGGCGAAGGCAAUCCCCUGGGCCUGCACUGACGCUCAUGCACGAAGCGUGGGGAGCAAACAGG
rnacentral:rRNA from 1 species